rnacentral:rRNA from 1 species
GUGGGGAAUAUUGCACAAUGGGCGAAAGCCUGAUGCAGCAACGCCGCGUGAGGGACGACGGCCUUCGGGUUGUAAACCUCUUUUAGUAGGGAAGAAGCGAAAGUGGCGGUACCUGCAGAAAAAGCACCGGCUAACUACGUGCCAGCAGCCGCGGUAAUACGUAGGGUGCAAGCGUUAUCCGGCAUUAUUGGGCGUAAAGAGCUCGUAGGCGGUCUGUCGCGUCUGCUGUGAAAACUGGAGGCUCAACCUCAAGCGUGCAGUGGGUACGGGAAGACUAGAGUGCGGUAGGGGAGAGUGGAAUUCCUGGUGUAGCGGUGGAAUGCGCAGAUAUCAGGAGGAACACCGAUGGCGAAGGCAGAUCUCUGGGCCGUAACUGACGCUGAGGAGCGAAAGCGUGGGGAGCGAACAGGAUUAGAAACCCCGGUAGUCC